AUGAACCCAGACCCAGCUCCGUGUCUAUAUAACGUGUCGACCACCGAGCGAUGCCCAACGCCAUCCUGUGUGACGCCAUCACCGAGAGCGCGCGCAGCAGCCACUACACACAGUAUGGCUCCGCCGAUCUCCGCCGACGUCGUGGUGGAGGCCGCACCGGCGCCUGCGUCCAUGGCCGUGCUGAACCAAAUGGUUUGCGCGGGCGCGCCGGCGCCGAGCAUCACCGUCGUCUCCAAGCAGCUGGUUCUGCCGGAGGGCGCGCCGCCGGUCGGAGACCUCAGGCUGUCCGUCUCCGACAUGCCCAUGCUGUCGUGCCACUACAUUCAGAAGGGGCUCUUCUUCCCGCCCGCGGGCAUGCCGAACGCCCGCCUCGUGUCGUCGCUCGCGCUGUCGCUCUCCCGCGCGCUCGGCGUCUUCCCGGCGCUCGCGGGACGGCUCGUCACGCUCCCCGACGACCGCAUCGUCAUCCGGUGCGACGACGGCGCUGCCGUCGAGUUCUACCAUGCCGUGGCGCCCGCUCUGUCGCUCGCCGACUUCCUCGUGCGCGACGCCGACGUGCCCACCAGGCUGACGAAGGAUCUGUUCCCGAUGGACCGCACCGUCAGCUACGAAGGCCACCGCCGCCCGCUCACGUCGUUUCAGGUCACCGUGCUCGGCGACGGCGCUGUCUUCGUCGGCCUCGUCGCCAACCACGCCGUCGUGGACGGCACCUCAUUCUGGCACUUCUUCAACACGUGGGCUGGGCUGUGCCGUGGCGAGCCAGUCCAGCCGCCGGACUUCAGCCGCAACUUCUUCGGCGGCUCCACGGCUGUCCUCCGCUUCUCCGGACGCGACGGCCCCGCGGUGACGUUCGACGCAUCGGCGCCCCUCCGUGAGCGAGUCAUCAACUUCAGCGCCGCGUCGAUUCGCGGCCUGAAGGCGGCGGCCAACCGCUGCAGAAAAAGCAACGAAGACGACGAGGUUAAAGGCAAGCUCGUGCAUGAUCUGAAGGUCCAGGGAGGCUGCGGGGAGAUCUCCUCCUUCCAGUCGAUGUGCGCGCACAUGUGGAGGGCCGUGACGCGGGCGCGGCUGCAGCUGGCCGCCGACGCGACGACAACGUUCCGCAUGGCGGUGAACUGCCGGCACCGCCUGCGCCCGAAGAUCUCCCCGGUCUACUUCGGCAACGCGAUCCAGAGCGUGGCGACGACGGCGACGGUGGCGGAGCUGGCGUCCCACGACCUCGGGUGGGCGGCGGCCAGGCUGCACGCGACCGUGGUGGCGCACGAGGACGGCGCCAUCCGGAAGGCCGCGGCGGACUGGGAGGCGGCGCCCCGGUGCUUCCCGCUGGGGAACCCCGACGGCGCGGCGCUCACCAUGGGCAGCUCGCCGCGGUUCCCGAUGUACGACGGCAACGACUUCGGCUGGGGCAGGGCGCUCGCGGUGCGGAGCGGGCGGGCGAACAAGUUCGACGGCAAGAUGUCGGCGUUCCCGGGGCAGGCCGGGGACGGCAGCGUGGACGUGGAGGUGUGCCUCGCCCCGGACACCAUGGGCCGCCUCCUGUGCGACGACGAGUUCCUGCAGUUCGUGUCCCAUGCACCUUCACCUUGA
rnacentral:rRNA from 1 species